rnacentral:rRNA from 1 species
UGGGGAAUUUUGCACAAUGGGGGAAACCCUGAUGCAGCGACGCCGCGUGAUUUAGAAGGCCUUCGGGUUGUAAAAAUCUUUUCUAUGGGAAGAAAAUGACAGUACCAUAGGAAUAAGGACCGGCUAAUUACGUGCCAGCAGCCGCGGUAAUACGUAAGGUCCGAGCGUUGUCCGGAAUCAUUGGGCGUAAAGGGUACGUAGGCGGGUAAGCAAGUUAGAAGUGAAAUCCUAUAGCUCAACUAUAGUAAGCUUUUAAAACUGCUCAGCAUGAGGUAUGGAAGGGAAAGUGGAAUUCCUAGUGUAGCGGUGAAAUGCGCAGAUAUGAGGAGGAAUACCGGUGGCGAAGGCGACUUUCUGGCCAUAACCUGACGCUGAGGUACGAAAGCGUGGGUAGCAAACAGG